AUAUUUUUUAUCAUUUUCCUGCUUUAAAUAAACAAAUCGUAAGAUUGAAUUAUAUAUUCUAUAGGUCUAUUAAAACGCAUCCGUCAGUUUAGUUAUAAUUAAUAAUGGUGUUGCAUAAUAUUUAAUUACCUUUAAACAAUCAUCACAUUAAAUAGCGAUUAAGAGUAUGUUCAUUCUACUUUAGUGACUGCAGUAUGAACAUAGACUCUAUAAUCUCAUAGCCGUCUGCUAUAUUGCCAGUGUGCUAUACAGACGCUCACACGUGCCGGAUCUUUUCAAUGUGUUCACUUGCAGUUGGAUGUGGCACAGAAGUUAUGUUUAUUUAGAGACAAUAUAGUGCAUGUAUUAGUUGGCUAAGACACAAACACACGGCCCGGACAGACCUUUUACAUAGCCACGAUUAGAUUGUUUUAUCGCGUUGACACUCCAAAGGACGUCGAAAUUUUGACAUAUUUCUUUUUUUUUUUUUUAAUACAACCUUACAGAUAAGGUAUAAGAUAAACGACGGCCAGCAGUUGCACGUGUCAGCGUGGAGGCAGCCACUACACUCGGUCGAGGACAGAGGGUGGUUAGCAACAGGGUGGAGAGUCGCAAAGUGCAAGCUCGCUAAUACACAUAAGUCUAUUCCGUAAGAAUGACCUUCUUUCUACAUAUUUACUUCAAGUCAACGCGACAAGAUAGGUUGUUUUGGUGCCAUCCCGCUCUAGCUGUAUAAGGAAUGAGGAAGACGCUGUUAUCAUAGAUGCGUUGAAUACUGCAUGGCGUGACGGACCGUGCCCUGCUGUGGUCUUUGUGUGCCGCAAUCCACAAUGACACCUAGCCGACAAUUAUAAAAGUUAAUUAUGCAACAUCUCUCUCAGCGAAAAUGAGGAAGUCCACUGAACAGUCAUGCAAUAUAUAACUUCCUAUAACUAACAUUGAGAACUCUACAGAAACUAGUUAGAAAUGUAUAAUAUUGUAAUAGUGCUGUUUACGUUUGAUGUUAAAGUAUAACAAUUUAUAUAAUUCGUAUGAAUAAAAUAAUAUUUAUUAACAUUGAUGGCGUAAUGUAUUAUGAGAUAGUAAAAAAUAUAAUAAAAUUAUUACAAUUUAUGAAAAAGGAAAAUAAGAAUAAAUUAAUUUGAAUUAUA